rnacentral:rRNA from 1 species
CUGUACUUGUAAACCUAGUGAUAUACACGGUUAGUGGUCGGACGGGUGGAGUAACGCGUGGAGUAACCUAGCCGUAUACCGGGGAGUAACAACUAGAAUAGGUAGCUAAUACGCAUGAGCGCACAGCUCCGCAUGGAGCGGUGUGAAAAACUACCGGUGGUAUACGAUGGAUCCGCGUCUGAUUAGCCAGUUGGCGGGGUAACGGCCCGACCAAAGCGACGAUCAGUAGCCGGCCGUGAGAGGGUGAACGGCCACAUUGGGACUGAGACACGGCCCAGACUCCUACGGGAGGCAGCAGUGGGGAAUAUUGCACAAUGGGGGAAACCCUGAUGCAGCGACGCCGCGUGAGUGAAGAAGUAUCUCGGUAUGUAAAGCUCUAUCAGCAGGAAAGAUAAUGACGGUACCUGACUAAGAAGCCCCGGCUAACUACGUG